rnacentral:rRNA from 1 species
UGGGGAAUAUUGCACAAUGGGCGAAAGCCUGAUGCAGCGACGCCGCGUGAGCGAAGAAGUAAUUCGUUAUGUAAAGCUCUAUCAGCAGGGAAGAUAAUGACGGUACCCGAGGAGGAAGCUCCGGCUAACUACGUGCCAGCAGCCGCGGUAAUACGUAGGGAGCGAGCGUUGUCCGGAAUUACUGGGUGUAAAGGGAGCGUAGGCGGGAAGGUAAGUCAGCGGUGAAAUACCUAAGCUCAACUUAGGGGCUGCCGUUGAUACUGCAUAGCUGGAAUAUGGUUGCUGUUGGCGGAAUGUGUAGUGUAGCGGUGAAAUGCAUAGAUAUUACACAGAACACCUAUUGCGAAGGCAGCUGACAAAACCAUUAUUGACGCUGAGGCACGAAAGUGUGGGGAUCAAACA